CUACAUAUUGUAGUCCAACUUGUGCCACCUAAGUGUCGGUGGUAGCUCCAGCAUUCCCACUCUAGGAAUGAGUCUAUCCCUCCCGACCCCGUAGGUUUCUCGAUACCGCACGAGCGAGCAUAAGUCGCGUAGUGUUAAGAAUUUUAUAGGUUGGCGGAUUUCGUAGAGUUGAAUGGAGUCUUGAAGAGUUGAUCGCAGAAGUUUGAAGAAAAGAUUCAAAUUGAAGAACA
rnacentral:lncRNA from 1 species